rnacentral:rRNA from 1 species
AAAAAAGGUAAGCUACUAAGAGCGAAUGGUGGAUGCCUUGACUGGUAAAGGCGAUGAAGGACGUACUAGACUGCGAUAAGCUACGGGGAGCUGUCAAGAAGCUUUGAUCCGUAGAUUUCCGAAUGGGGCAACCCAAUGUAUAGAGAUAUACAUUACCUAUAUAGGAGCGAACGAGGGGAAUUGAAACAUCUUAGUACCCUCAGGAAAAGAAAUCAAUAGAGAUUGCGUCAGUAGCGGCGAGCGAAAGCGCAAGAGGGCAAACCCAGUGCUUGCACUGGGGGUUGUAGGACUGCAAUGUGCAAGAGGUGAGUUUAGCAGAACAUUCUGGAAAGUAUAGCCAUAGAGGGUGAUAGUCCCGUAUGCGAAAAACAAACCUUAGCUAGCAGUAUCCUGAGUAGGGCGGGACACGAGAAAUCCUGUCUGAAGCUGGGUCGACCACGAUCCAACCCUAAAUACUAAUACCAGAUCGAUAGUGCACAAGUACCGUGAGGGAAAGGUGAAAAGAACUGAGGUGAUCAGAGUGAAAUAGAACCUGAAACCAUUUGCUUACAAUCAUUCAGAGCCCUAUGUAGCAAUACAGGGUGAUGGACUGCCUUUUGCAUAAUGAGCCUGCGAGUUGUGGUGUCUGGCAAGGUUAAGCAAACGCGAAGCCGUAGCGAAAGCGAGUCUGAAUAGGGCGCUUAGUCAGAUGCUGCAGACCCGAAACGAAGUGAUCUAUCCAUGAGCAAGUUGAAGCUAGUGUAAGAACUAGUGGAGGACUGAACCCAUAGGCGUUGAAAAGCCCCGGGAUGACUUGUGGAUAGGGGUGAAAGGCCAAUCAAACUUCGUGAUAGCUGGUUCUCUCCGAAAUAUAUUUAGGUAUAGCGUUGUGUCGUAAUAUAAGGGGGUAGAGCACUGAAUGGGCUAGGGCAUACACCAAUGUACCAAACCCUAUCAAACUCCGAAUACCUUAUAUGUAAUCACAGCAGUCAGGCGGCGAGUGAUAAAAUCCGUCGUCAAGAGGGAAACAACCCAGACUACCAGCUAAGGUCCCUAAAUCUUACUUAAGUGGAAAACGAUGUGAAGUUACUUAAACAACCAGGAGGUUGGCUUAGAAGCAGCCAUCCUUUAAAGAAAGCGUAAUAGCUCACUGGUCUAGUGAUUUUGCGCGGAAAAUAUAACGGGGCUAAAGUAAGUACCGAAGCUGUAGACUUGCGCACAACUUAGAUUAUUUAAGUUUAGAAUAUGAGAAACUAAGUUAUAUGUUUAGUUAUAUUUUUACUGAUUUUUAUAGAGUAAAGAUAGAAAUAAAACUUAGUAAAAUCAGUAAAAAUAUUCUUAGACUAAAGUUAAGUAGUUUAAGUUGUGUGCAAGUGGUAGGAGAGCGUUCUAUUUGCGUCGAAGGUAUACCGGUAAGGAGUGCUGGAGCGAAUAGAAGUGAGCAUGCAGGCAUGAGUAGCGAUAAUUAAUGUGA